ACCAAUUCGGGAAGAUUGACUGGUUCUUCUUGAGAUAAUGGCUUGGGUUGCUAUACCUAAUUGUGGCCAUUCUGAUUCAUGGCUCUUCAAUACCAUGUUAUCCGGGAAACUCCACGCACAUCA